rnacentral:rRNA from 2 species
AGCGGUGAAAUGCGUAGAGAUGUGGAGGAACACCAGUGGCGAAGGCGACUCUCUGGUCUGUAACUGACGCUGAGGAGCGAAAGCGUGGGGAGCGAACAGGAUUAGAUACCCUGGUAGUCCACGCCGUAAACGAUGAGUGCUAAGUGUUAGGGGGUUUCCGCCCCUUAGUGCUGCAGCUAACGCAUUAAGCACUCCGCCUGGGGAGUACGGUCGCAAGACUGAAACUCAAAGGAAUUGACGGGGGCCCGCACAAGCGGUGGAGCAUGUGGUUUAAUUCGAAGCAACGCGAAGAACCUUACCAGGUCUUGACAUCCUCUGACAAUCCUAGAGAUAGGACGUCCCCUUCGGGGGCAGAGUGACAGGUGGUGCAUGGUUGUCGUCAGCUCGUGUCGUGAGAUGUUGGGUUAAGUCCCGCAACGAGCGCAACCCUUGAUCUUAGUUGCCAGCAUUCAGUUGGGCACUCUAAGGUGACUGCCGGUGACAAACCGGAGGAAGGUGGGGAUGACGUCAAAUCAUCAUGCCCCUUAUGACCUGGGCUACACACGUGCUACAAUGGACAGAACAAAGGGCAGCGAAACCGCGAGGUUAAGCCAAUCCCACAAAUCUGUUNUCAGUUCGGAUCGCAGUCUGC